rnacentral:rRNA from 1 species
AUUGAACGCUGGCGGCAUGCCUAACACAUGCAAGUCGAACGGUAACACGAAACAGCUUGCGGGUUCGCGAACGGCGAGCGGACGGGUGAUAAAUGGGUAGGAAACUUGCUGAUGGGGGGUGAUAACUGCUGGAAAGGGUAGCUAAUACCGCGUAACGUCGCAGGACCAGAGAGGGGGACCUUCGUGCCGCUUUCCGGCUGGGGUGCCCAGGUGGGAUUAGUUAGUGGGGGGGGUAACGGCCCACCUGGGCGACGAUCGCUAGAUGGUGUGAGAGGACGACCAGCCACACUGGAACUGAGACACGGUCCAGACUCCUACGGGAGGCAGCAGUGGGGAAUAGUGGACAAUGGGCGAAAGCCUGAUGCAGCAAUGCCGCGUGUGUGAAGAAGGCCUUCGGGUUGUAAAGUACUUUUAGCGGGGAUGAAGGGCUUAAACCUAAUACGUUCGGUCAUUGACGUUACCCGAAGAAGAAGCACCGGCUAACUACGUG